UGUCAGCUCAGUGGCUGGAGGACGAUAAACUCAAUGGGACUCUCUAUUUUUAACCUCCUGUUCAUUGCUUCUUGUAAUGCGAUGUGGGCUAGCUGAGCUUUUCUCCUGAAUGUUCCCAAAUACCCUGGCUUAUCAUUUUCAGAAACAGUCAUUGAAGAGAAAGUUAUUGAAGAGUCGGAUUUAUCGUCAAGUUUGGAUCUUUUCUCCUUAAGACAUUAUGUCAAGUGAAAAUAAUUUAACUGGACAGGUAUCAACUACUACGGUUAGUUCGGUGGCCAUACAAGCUGGCGAAUCCAGAAUAAUCAUAUCAGUACUUAAGUGUGGCCACUUGGUGAAUCUACAGUUAGCUGAAGCCAUACCUAAUUUAUUUGAGAUUGGUGCAAAUCAAGAUGAAUCUAAUAAACUUCUUAAGGAUCAUGAGAUGCUUCUUUCCAAACUCAAGUCCUUGGAAGAUCAUGUGUGGGACCUGUUAUGUGAAGCAGACAAAACUGCCGAGGGAAAUCAAGAACAAGGCUGUGUGUAUGAUGCUAUGGCACUGACCCUUAAGGAUGCCUGGGAUACACUCAUCGCUAUACUGGAUAAGAGGAGGACUCUCUUACAGUUGUCUUCAGUGUUCUUUCGGAUUGCACAAGAGUUUGCCACCGCUAUUGAUCAAGCAGAGGACGUUUUUCAGAAGAUACCAAGCCCCAACACGGUAGAUUCUAUUACAGAACGAUGUCAAGAACAGCAAAGUCACAAGAAAGCUCUUCUUGAACGAUCACUAGCCUUGUUAAAUAGAAAGCAGGAGCUGACAGAAUUCAUCGAACUAUUCAAGAAUAAACAGCCAAAUGCAAAUUUGGAAAUGACUCAGGGAGCCCGCAUUAGCUGUUUGAGAAUUGACAGUCUGGUGGAAUCGCUGCAAGACAGGAGAAGGCAGCUGGAUAAGCAUCUCAAGGAAGAGCACAGGCGACAGGAGCGGGUCUUACAAAUCAGUCAGUGGCACCAACAAGAAGAUAAGGUCACCUGUUGGCUGCGAAACCAUAUAGAAAUGUAUUUAAAGACUGUCCAACUAGGUACAUCACUGACUGAGAAUGAAGAACUUCUCCAAAAACACAAACAAGAAGUGUAUAGUGCCAAGGAAUGGACUUCCGCUGUUGAAAAGCUUAGCAAGGAAGCUACCAGACUAUUUGCUCUGGAGAACCACCAAGAAAGGGAGAACUUAAUGGAAGCAAAGAAAAAGCUAGAUGCACUUUAUUCCGACUUCUGGGAGCUUAUGGAAGAAAGAGAAAACAUUCUGCAAGAAGCCAAUGGCUUUUUUAAAAGUGUAAAUAAGGCUUUUGACAAAUUAGGAAACAUUGAAAUGUAUCUAACACAUUUGAAGAUGCAAGAUCGGAAUAUUCCUGAUUUAUUAGAAAAGCAAAGAGAAGCUGAAAUAGAAAUUAGAAACUGCACCAAAGAUGCCUUUCAUAAAGGACAGACGCUGAUAAACAAAUCUGCAUACAGCUCGGGGAUGACUGGAAUUAAGGAAAUGAUCGGAUACCUUCAGAAAAGGGUACAUCAGCUUACCGGGCAGAGCCCCACAUCUACGGACGUCACUUUAAAGAAACAGCCGAUAAUCACAUCACUUGAGGAACAUCUGGGGAAGGUGUCAAUGUGGAUUCAGACAAUAAAUAUAGAUUUGGAAAGAAACAGUGAUCCAGGCUGGAGCAUUACUGAGUGUGAGAAAGUUCGGAACAAACUGGAAGAGCUGGCCGACCAGACCAAGGAGGCAUUGCAGUGCAUGGACAAAGCUGCCCAGCUCUUAAAGGAGGCUGCCCAAACGAUACCAUCUGAUGCUGAUGUAUUUGCCCAUAAAGCAUGCCUUUUGGAUGAAAAACUGAAAACUCUGGAUCAAGCUAUUGAGGAGAAAUUAGAAGUUUUAUAUGUAUACAUUGAAUUUCUGAAAUCAUCAAAAGAGUUGAAAUCUCACAUCCAGAGUCUUAAGAAUAUGUAUGCGUCGCAUCCAGAAUCAAGCACCCUAGAUUCAGCCAACACACAGCUGCAGGGUGUACUCGAUGAUCUCUUCUCUGUUCAAGAUAUGGGGCAGAAUUGUUUGAACAUAAUAAAAAUGCUGAAUAGAAAUACAACCCUAAAAAAUACCCAAGUGGAAUGCAUUGAAACCAUAAUGGAUAAUUUAAAUAGAGAGAAGGCAGAGCUAACCGGUCUUUGGGCAACAUGGCAGCAGAAUAUCGACAGAGACAGCUCCUCAACGCAAUGGAGAUCAAUUAAAGAGCAGCUGAGAUCGGCGGCUCACAAGCUACAAGAAUUGGAGGAUGAUUUGCAGCCUUUGUCUUCACUGAGCCUAGGAAAUGACUUUAAGAAUAUUUUGAGUGCACAAGAAAAACUGAAUGCCGUUAAAGAUAAAUUUCAGAAACUCAAUGCUGAAACCCAACAGGCUGUAAAGAUCUCUGAACUUCUAACACGAGAGGGAACACCUCAUAAGGAAACAUCUGGAAAAAUAAAUGACCUUGCUCAACAAUAUCAAAGAGUCCACAGCUACAUUACAGAGUUUGAAGAACUUUUUAUCAAGAUUAUGACAUUUUAUAAAUUUAAGACAGAAUUGGAAAUCCAUCUCAAUUCAAAGCCAGAACCUCCAAAAUCGACUGAAAUGAGCAGCGAUAACCAGCUAUUUAAAAUGUCAGAGCAGAGAACACGUAUCCAGGACCUGUACAAGCAAAUUCUUAAUGUGGGGACAGACAUUAUGUCUACAGUGAAAUGUUCUAAGUACAUUAAUAUCUCCCUGGAAGAACUUCAACAACAACUGUGCAGUAUGGAAGAAGAGAGUGAAGGAUUGAAAUCUGAGAUGGUCAAGCAGGAGGAGAACCCUGCAAGUAAUCUAUAUUUGGGUCCAACAGCAGACAAUGUAAAAGAGUUAAAUGAAUCAUUUAAAGAUCUGAAGAAAAAAUUCAACAAUUUGAAGUUCAACUACACAAAAAAAGCUGACAAAGGCCGUAAUUUGAAACUAAUCAAGAAUCAGAUUCAGCAAGUGGAAAUGCAGGCCGAAAAAAUUCAGAUUCUGAAGACAAAAGUUGAUAACUUGGAAAAGAAGACUGUAACAGCUGCACUGCCUCAGAAAGUUGAUAAAGCAGAUGCUACCCGGUUGGCAUUUAGUGAUUUGCAGAAAAAAGUAAAUGAAUUCAGCCAAGUUGUGCAAGAAUAUAAACAGAAUCUCGAAAGAACUGAAGAUUUACACCUUAUAACGGAAGAGUGUCAGUUUUGGUGUGAAGAUGCCUGCGCUACUGUUGUCAGAGUCGGACGUUAUUCUGCAGAAUGCAAAACAAAGGAAUCUGUUGAGAUUCUUCUUAAGCAGUUCAACAAGUUCGUCGAACCUACUCUUCCGCAACAAGAAGAAAGGAUCCAGCAAUUAACCGAUAUUGCCAAACAUGUCUAUGGACCUGAAGAAGGGUUAAAAUGCAUAGAGAAGAUAUUAGUGAAGAACAAGGAGACACUGGACUCUGUAAAUGAGUUAUGCUCGUACCUUAAAGAACUUGAAGAAAAGCUGGAGGAACCACAUAAAGUGCCAGAAAUCUCCAUAAGUGCUGCAUCAGAUGAAGUUAUUCUACCAUCAUCUUCCAAAGAUGCUAGCUUACUAACAGACAUGGAUUUGCAGGCUGAAUGCCUGGCGGAGGACGCUGUCUCUGGCGAUGAAUACGAGUGCAUUUCGCCCGACGACAUCUCCCUGCCUCCGCUUGCUGAAACUCCUGAAUCCAUCCCCCUACAGUCUGAAACAGAGCAAGACGAGCAGUGCUGUUACAGCUCCCACAGCAUGCAUGUCAGCUCCUACAGCAUGCAAAUGCAGAUAAACGCCAGCGGCAAAACGGUGACAGACAGCUAUGACCUCUUAACACCUGUUGCUUAUACUGACACUUCCAGUGUCAAAAGGGAAAUGACUUCCACUUAUACAGAGAGAUUCUGUUCUCCUAUUGCUGGAUAUAAAACGGAAUCUCCAUCCACUCACCAUUCAAGCACAGUUAACGAAACCCUUUACUCCUUAAACACAUCUCCUUCAAAAGCCAAACCCAACUACAGCAUGAUGAAUGAAAUGCAUGAAACCCGCACGCAGCACCAUACUGUUUACUCAAACAUGGAGAAAACAGGACAAUUGCAUGUUCCCAAUAACACAUCUAGAGUUAAAGAUAGGCUUUACGCAACCCCCGAUGCAUUCUCAGGUCUCUUGUGUCAAUCAGACUCUGCCAAAAUAUCCCAGAGAGAUAUGACUACCCAAGAAGAGAUUAAGGGUUGUUCAGAAAACCACAGAAACGUUAUACCUUCAGGUCAGACUACUGGCUUGUCCAAGUACCUGCCUAAUGUCACUGUUAAAGAGGGCUCCCCAGUGACUUUGGAAGUAGAAGUUACCAGCUUUCCAGAGCCAACUCUAACAUGGUGCAGGAAGGGGGAAAAGCUAUCUACAGAAGAGGUUUUAACCGAUCUCAAAAAGGAAGCAACUCAGACCUUGGUCAUUGGAGAGGGGUACAAGAAAGAUCCUGGUCAUUUCAUUGCUCAAACUUCAAUUAAUAAGGUCACUUUUUCUCCUAGUGGUGACCCUGAUUGGAACGGGGAUGUAUCGCCUAUUUCAGGACUGGACUGGAUUAGUUUACUUUUCAUGUACAUUUGUGUAUCACUGGUGUUUUGGGUGUUCAAUAGCAAAAUGCAAAGUUGAUAUCCAGAGCCCAUGAAUCCAACCAUCACAAUUUGGAUUUAAUUUUACACUGGACUUUUAAGAAUUUCAUAUCGCUAAUGUUUGAAUCUAUAAAAGUACUUCAUAACUUAAAUGCAAAAACGUUUGAUUCCAGCACACAGGUAUACAUCACCUGAAGACACAAGAAAAUAAAUAUGACAAAAGUUACAUUAACAGAAUUCUACAGAAUAUUUUACAUUAAUCACAAAAUCCAAUAACAAAUAUCCUAUGGAAAUCGAAAGCCGUUUUCAGAACAGGGGGAAACUGCACCCCUUCACCCUUUCAGCUGUCUUCUGAACCAGAUGAUGUAAAGAUAAGGAGUUAUAUAUUACUUCACUCAGAUAGUGUAUGUAAAAUAUAGCACUGGAACAGAACAGAUAGUUGAGGCAAAGUUAUUUUUUACUGACGGAUAAUGUUUCAGAAAUGCUAGAAGCUAAUAAAAAUGCUAAUAUAAACAUAAUGUUUUAUGGUCAACUGAAAAACAUAAAUCAUUAUAUUUUAUACUUUAAUUAGAUUUAAUUGCACAAUAUUCUAUAUUUCAAUGUUAAAUUGAAUGCAGCAAAAUGUAACGUUAAAGCGAGGCAGGCUGGCACAUAUUAAUGUGUGUAUGUAAGUGUAUGUGAGCAUGAAUGUGUAUGUGUAAACAUUUGUGUGAGUAUG